rnacentral:rRNA from 1 species
GACGAACGCUGGCGGCGUGCUUAACACAUGCAAGUCGAACGGACUUUAGCGGUUGAAGUUUUCGGACGGAAACUGCGAAGAGUUAGUGGCGGACGGGUGAGUAACGCGUGAGGAACCUGCCUUUCAGAGGGGGACAACAGUUGGAAACGACUGCUAAUACCGCAUAAUGCAGCAGUACCGCAUGGUACCACUGCCAAAGAUUUAUCGCUGAAAGAUGGCCUCGCGUCUGAUUAGAUAGUUGGUGGGGUAACGGCCUACCAAGUCGACGAUCAGUAGCCGGACUGAGAGGUUGAACGGCCACAUUGGGACUGAGACACGGCCCAGACUCCUACGGGAGGCAGCAGUGGGGAAUAUUGGGCAAUGGGCGAAAGCCUGACCCAGCGACGCCGCGUNAGGGAAGAAGGUCUUCGGAUUGAAACCUU